rnacentral:rRNA from 1 species
UAGGGAAUCUUCGGCAAUGGACGAAAGUCUGACCGAGCAACGCCGCGUGAGUGAAGAAGGUUUUCGGAUCGUAAAACUCUGUUGUUAGAGAAGAACAAGGACGUUAGUAACUGAACGUCCCCUGACGGUAUCUAACCAGAAAGCCCCGGCUACCUACGUGCCAGCAGCCGCGGUAAUACGUAGGUGGCAAGCGUUGUCUGGAUUUAUUGGGUGUAAAGCGAGCGCAGGGGGUUUCUUAAGUCUGAUGUGAAAGCCCCCGGCUCAAGCGGGGAGGGUCAUUGGAAACUGGGAGACUUGAGUGCAGAAGAGGAGAGUGGAAUUCCAUGUGUAGCGGAGAAAUGCGUAGAUAUAUGGAGGAACACCAGUGGCGAAGGCGGCUCUCUGGUCUGUAACUGACGCUGAGGCUCGAAAGCGUGGGGAGCAAACAGG